UCAAACGCGGUUUUUGGCCUUUCCAUAUUUUUCAA
rnacentral:sRNA from 1 species